UACGGAAGCCCAUAAGUGCCAUUUUGUCUUAGGAGUUAUGUCUUAUGACUAAUGACUUAUGUAUUAUGACUUUUGUCUUAUGUAUUAUGACUUUACAAAAAAGCGGCAAAAAGACAAGUUUCAUCAAGUACGCUCAUCAUGGCAGCCUUUGGAGGUAAAUCUGAUAGUGAAACAGCAGACGCUUUGGUAAAUGCGAGUAGUAAACGUAUUUAGGUACUAGGUUAGAAAAUAGCAGGCUAAGACCAAGAAAACAUUGGAAAAGAUAAACUUAUGGAGAUUCAUAGAGAAACAGCUUGGUCCUGGGAGGCAUUUCUCAUGAAAAUUACAGUUUGGACGACUAUUAAAUUCGCAAGAAAUUUUGACAAGUGACAGCACGGGCGGAGAGCAAGAAUAAACGAGAUCAAUAAAGAAGAAAAAAGUGUUCAAAUAAUUAUAAGUAAUGCAACUAGAUUUUUUUUUCAGAUGCUAUGGAAGUGAAUCUGUCAAAACAUAAAAGUGACAUUUUAAAAUAAAUUUGUAAUGCCAAAUAAAGAUAUAUUUAAUUUUCAAGCGUACUUAAAAUGUAUAUGUGUGUUUUAACCAAAUAAGUUGAAUUUUUGUUUUAUUAUUAUCGCGAAAACAGCCUAGAUUUCGUAGUUUAGACCUA